GGUUCGAUUAUGGCUCAGAUUGAACGCUGGCGGGAUGCUUUACACAUGCAAGUCGAACGGCAGCACGGACUUCGGUCUGGUGGCGAGUGGCGAACGGGUGAGUAAUGUAUCGGAACGUGCCUAGUAGCGGGGGAUAACUACGCGAAAGGUAGCUAAUACCGCAUACACACCUUUCGGGAAAGCGGGGACCCGGGCCUCGCACUAUUAGAGCGGCUGAUAUCGGAUUAGCUAGUUGGUGGGUAACGGCCAGUCAAGGCGACGAUCCGUAGCUGGUUUGAGAGGACGACCAGCCACACUGGGACUGAGACACGGCCCAGACUCCUACGGGAGGCAGCAGUGGGGAAUUUUGGACAAUGGGGAAAUUCCGAUCCAGCCAUCCUUAUGUGCGAUGAAGGCCUUCGGGUUGUAAAGCACUUUGGCAGGAGAAGAAACGGCACGGGAUAAUACCCGUGCAACUGACGGUACUCGCAGAAUAAGCACCGGCAACUACGUGCCAGCAGCCGCGGUAAUACGUAGGGUGCAAGCGUUAAUCUGAAUUACUGGGCGUAAAAGCGUGCGCAGGCGGUUCGAAAGAAAGAUGAAACUCUGAGCUUAACUUUGGAACUGCAUUUUUAACUACCGAGCUAGAGUGUGUCAGAGGGAGGCGGAAUUCCGCGUAGCAGUGAAAUGCGUAGAUAUGCGGAGGAACACCAUGGCGAAGGCAGCCUCCUGGGAUAACACUGACGCUCAUGCACGAAAGCGUGGGGAGCAAACAGGAUUAGAUACCCUGGUAGUCCACGCCCUAAACGAUGUCAACUAGCUGUUGGGGCCUUUCUGGCCUGGUAGCGCAGCUAACGCGUGAAGUUGACCGCCUGGGGAGUACGGUCGCAAGAUUAAAACUCAGCGAAUUUGAUGGGAUUCGCACAAGCGGUGGAUGAUGUGGAUUAAUUCGAUGCAACGCGAAAAACCUUACCUACCCUUGACAUGUCUGGAAUCCCCGAAGAGAUUUGGGAGUGUUUGCAAGAGAACCGGAACACAGGUGCUGCAUGCAUGUCGUCAGCUCGUGUCGUGAGAUGUUGGGUUAAGUCCCGCAACGAAGCAACCCUUGUCAUUAGUUGCUACGAAAGGGCACUCUAAUGAGACUGCCGGUGACAAACCGAGGAAGGUGGAUGACGUCAAGUCCUCAUGGCCCUUAUGGGUAGGCCUACACGUCAUACAAUGGUCGGGACAGAGGGUCGCCAACCCGCGAGGGGAGCCAUCCUCAGAAACCCGAUCGGGCCUCGGAUCGCAGUCUGCAACUCGACUGCGUGAAGUCGAAUCGCUAGUAAUCGCGGAUCAGCAUGUCGCGGUGAAUACGUUCCCGGUUCGUACACACUGCCCGUCACACCACAGGGAGUGGGUUUUACCAGAAGUAGUUAGCCUAACCGUAAGGAGGGCGAUUACCACGGUAGGAUUCAUGACUGGGGUGAAGCUGUAAUGAAGGUAG
rnacentral:rRNA from 1 species